rnacentral:rRNA from 1 species
CGCUUUUCUUUCACCGGAGCUUGCUCCACCGAAAGAAAAAGAGUGGCGAACGGGUGAGUAACACGUGGGAAACCUGCCCAGAAGCGGGGGAUAACACCUGGAAACAGAUGCUAAUACCGCAUAACAACUUGGACCGCAUGGUCCGAGCUUGAAAGAUGGCUUCGGCUAUCACUUUUGGAUGGUCCCGCGGCGUAUUAGCUAGAUGGUGGGGUAACGGCUCACCAUGGCAAUGAUACGUAGCCGACCUGAGAGGGUAAUCGGCCACAUUGGGACUGAGACACGGCCCAAACUCCUACGGGAGGCAGCAGUAGGGAAUCUUCCACAAUGGACGAAAGUCUGAUGGAGCAACGCCGCGUGAGUGAAGAAGGGUUUCGGCUCGUAAAACUCUGUUGUUAAAGAAGAACAUAUCUGAGAGUAACUGUUCAGGUAUUGACGGUAUUUAACCAGAAAGCCACGGCUAACUACGUGC